UAGGUACGCACUUGACGCAAACGUCGCUCUGACGUCAGGUAAGCUAAAUCCACGCACGAGUGUCGCUGUCACUAACGUUCUUGUUUCCUGAGGUGAAAAUGGUUCCUCCUGUCCAGGUAUCUGCUCUGAUCAAGACUGCUAGGUGGUCUGCCUUGCUGGUCGGAAUGGUAUACGGUAAACAGCGAUAUGAUUACCUGAAGCCCAUUGCUGCAGAGGAGAGGAGGGUGGAAGAGGCCGAAAAGAAGUAUAGAGAGGAACAAGAGCGCAUUUACAAACAGCUUGCUGAAGCCAACGAGGACACCAUUCUGAAAUGAGUCAUCCUUGCACUAAACCUUUUUUAAGUUAAUAAACAUCCCAACAAAUA